rnacentral:rRNA from 1 species
UACGUAGGGUGCGAGCGUUGUCCGGAAUUAUUGGGCGUAAAGGGCUCGUAGGCGGUUUGUCGCGUCGGGAGUGAAAUCCACUGGCUUAACUGGUGGCUUGCUUUCGAUACGGGCAUGACUGGAGUUCGGUAGGGGAGACUGGAAUUCCCGGUGUAGCGGUGAAAUGCGCAGAUAUCGGGAGGAACACCGGUGGCGAAGGCGACUUCCUGGCCUGUUCUUGACGCUGAGGCGCGAAAGCUAGGGGAGCAAACGGG